GCCCCCGUAGCUCAGCCGGAUAGAGCGAGCGUUUCCUAAACGCUAGGCCGCGUGUUCGAAUCACGCCGGGGGCA
rnacentral:tRNA from 1 species